rnacentral:pre_miRNA from 1 species
UCUUAUGUGUGAGCAAAGAAACUGGUUUCUUGAGACAGAAUCUACUCCUGGUGAAGACGCUGUGAA